rnacentral:lncRNA from 1 species
UCUUGAUGGCCUUGGCGAACGUUGCAAGAAGUACUACGAAGCUGGUGCCCGAUUUGCAAAAUGGCGUGCCGUGCUGAAGAUUGGCCCCAACGAGCCUUCUCAGCUGUCAAUCAACGAGAACGCCAAUGGGUUGGCCCGAUAUGCUAUCAUCUGCCAGGAGAAUGGCCUCGUUCCCAUUGUUGAGCCAGAGAUUCUGGUUGAUGGAUCCCAUGACAUUCAAAAGUGUGCUGAUGUGACCGAACGUGUUCUUGCAGCAUGCUACAAGGCCCUUAACGACCACCAUGUCCUGCUUGAAGGAACUCUAUUGAAGCCUAACAUGGUGACUCCAGGAUCUGAUGCAAAAAAGGUUCCACCCGAGAUGAUUGCUGAGUACACUGUCCGUGCCUUGCAGCGCACCAUGCCCGCAGCUGUCCCUGCUGUGGUGUUCCUCUCUGGUGGGCAGAGCGAGGAGGAGGCUACCAUCAACCUCAACGCUAUGAACAAGUUGAAGGCGAAUAAGCCAUGGUCUCUUUCCUUCUCCUUCGGACGUGCCCUUCAGCAAAGCACUCUCAAGGCUUGGUCAGGAAAGGAAGGGAACGUGAAGAAGGCGCAGGAGGCUUUCCUAACCAGGGCCAAGGCCAACUCGGAAGCGACAUUGGGAAACUACAAGGGUGAUGCCAAGCUCGGUGAAGGUGCCGCGGAGAGCCUUCACGUCAAGGACUACAAGUAUUGAUUGAUGAUCGUUCUGGAUUGCUUUAUUCUUUCAGUAGUCUAGGUCUUUUUUUUUGUUGAAACUUUAUUCGUAUAAUCUCGGUCGUGAUGAGAUUAUUACCGGAUACUAGUAGGUUUUGAUAAAAGCUUGAGGAACUAUGGCAAGCAUGGAAGAGUUUUGUUUGUUUCAUCAACUUGGUUUUGGUUUGGAGAAAUUUAAACCUCUUGUUUAUAUUCUGGUUGAUCGAGAAUGUACUUAUUUGAACUUUAGUUUUUGAUUGGGGUGUGCUAUCCACACAUCCCCUUUUACUUCUCACACACCCCUUAUUAAUUUAUGUCCGUUGAUCUUCUUCAAUUCAUCCGAUUCGACGGCCGAAAACUAAAAAGGUGUGAGAGAAGUAAAAAUGGGUGUGUGGAUAUCACACCCCUUUUGAUUUAGUUGCGUAAGCAAAAUCUUCGAUUGGGUUAGUAUUGUUUUAGGCCCAAUACUGUAUUGGGCUUUCACAAUUGUAACAUGUAAAUUGUUUUAGGCCCAAUAUAGUCAUAAGUUUUGGGGUUGAAUACACACACCUCCUAAGGUUUUCGUGUUUUCUCAAAGGGAUGUGAUAUCCACACACCCAUUUUUACUUCUCUCACACCCUUUUAAUUUUCGGCCGUCGGAUCGGAUGAAUUGAAGAAGAUCAAAGGACAUAAAUUAACAAGGGGUGUGGGAGAAGUAAAAAGAGAUGUGUGGAUAGCACACCCCUUCUCAAAAACCCCUCAGGUUUAAAACAUUACGCUAACAUUCUCUGAGAUUUUAGUUCACUUACACAAAACCCCUUCAAGGACAAAUUUACCCUUUUAAUUAAUUAUCCAAUUUUGAAUCUUGUAAUUGUUAUUAUGAUGUUGUAUGUGUAGGAUUUAGAGGUGAGCAAUAGCUAUUUUCUGAUGCUAUUUUGGCGAUUUGGGAGGCCAAUCGUCACAGGUUGCAGUGACUGGUAUCCUUUUUCUAGGCCUCUGUUUCCUCUUGUGCUCUUUGCGCAUCUUAUUUUAGUCCCCUCUGAGACAUCCGACAAAAUUAGAACGAUUAUUUUCAUUGAGAAAAAAGUUUUAAAAUAUGCUCUUUCUUUUUUCUUAUUUUCUUUUUUUAUAUCAAAUAUAAUAUUUGGAGGCAGAACAGAAAAUAAAUAAUGUAUUAGGAAUCAUGUCUGCAUCUAAGCUUUUACCUAUACUGGUAUGCUCACAUGUCAAUUUAGAUUAAAAACCACUUAUCACUUAUCAGCAGAGCGGCCAUAUGGGAUCAAAGAUCGGGAAUUAAUUAAUGGAAAAAUAUAAUAUAUGUGUGUGUGUGUGUGUAUAAAGAAGGAUCGAAGUGAAGAAUAUUCCAAGGCCUAAGCAGCAUCGGUCAUUUUGUUCUCCAAUAUCUGCGUCGGAUCCACGCAUUCCAUGUUCCUGGUUAAAAUAUUUCAACAACUUUUUUUUUGAAGUUUAAAUACUAAGAUAGGUCUAUUCAUACACAUUUUUUUUACUUUUACGUAUAUUUGUUAAUUUUUGUUUAUUGAUCUUCUUAAAUUAUUGAAUUUUACGGCCGAAAAUUAAAAAAGAUGUGUGAGAAGUAAAAAUGAAUGUGUAGAUAACAUUGUCUUAAUUAAAUAUUAUUCAACAAAUUAAAAUUACCCGACAUUGCAGGAACCUCUUCAAAGACCUACUUGGCCAUGGCCAGUUGGCUAAUUGGUUUCAGAAAACAAGAGAAUGAGAGAUGAAAAGAGAGGUAGGUGAAGCCUCCAUAACUUAGUGUUCAACAUCCUAACUACCACUUCUUUUUCUUCUUCUUUCACAAAAGUUUCCAACCUCGACCUGAAUUAUAAUUUGAAUAUCAACUUUUGAAAAAAAAAAAAAAGUAGACGUAAAUUAUAAUUUGAAUAUUUACUUUUGAAAAAAGGAAGUUGACAUUGACGUAGUUACAUUGGCUAAUUAGAGUUUAUGUACUCUCCUCAAUGUACUUAGUUGAAAUUCUCUCUCUACAAUUUAAGAUCAAUUUAAAUAAAACAUGAGUUGUAUUAGAAGUUAUACAAAAGAGUGAUGGCUAUCGAUGUACGACAUCAAAUUGCAAACAUAACACUACUGUGAAUCGUGAUAGAGUCUCACCUUGCACUUAGUAAAUCAACUAAUAAGUACGUAGAAGUUGAAAGGGAGAAUAUUAGAACUUGGAUUUUUUAUUUGUGUAAAAUGGAUACCACGUUGUACAACUCCAAAAGCAUGUCGAACGCUCGAAGUAACCAAGAAUAACUGCGCUUAUGUCAAAAUAAAUGGAAGAAGAGUCAACUGAAUUUUGUUCAUAGGUCUCAUAAGGAGGCGAAGUGUAAACCUAAUGAGACAUUUCGUCAUACCAUAUUCUUUUGCAUGCUUUUAUUUUUAAAUAAUUUGGCACUUUUAAAUACAAAAGAGAAGAUGGGCGUGACAUAAAAGUAAGAAAAUUGUGGCGCAUGAUCCAAAUGAUGCAAUUGAUUUUGGUUAAUAUAUAAAUGCGUUGAAAAUUGAAAGUUUGUUCGAUGAGGCAUAUAUAAUAACAACUCUUGUUUUGACUUAUAAGUAGCAACGAGAAAUGCGGUGGGUGAGGUGACAAGGAACCAACACGAAGCAUAUACGAUUUGACUGUGCAAAUCACACACACGAGGCAUAUACGAUUUGACCGUGCAAAUCACACACACACACAAUUAGUGACGGAGCCAGAAUUUUACAACAAAGGGAUCAUGAUUUCGACCACAAAAAGAAUUCAUGGCACCAUUCUGUCGAGCAUCAAUUGGGCACCUAUCAAAAUCUACCAACAUUCACUGAAAGCUUGUGAUGACAUCUAACAGUAGCCGUUGCGUUCUUCUAGCAUUUGUAUCUGUCAAGGUGUGCCUAACCUAGCAAACUGUCAAGACCUACCUGCCAAGACUUUUUGAGUGAAGCAUUAGGUCGAGCAUGUGGUGCACACCAUUAAGUUGCAUAGAAGAAAAAAGAGAAGGAAGACACGAGGAAAGAAAAUUGGAGAAAGAAGAAGCACAAUCGGUUGUAAUUUAACAUUGUUCAUUCUCUCCUUAAGUAGGGUCUAAAGAUAAAUCUAUCAAUAAGUAUAUAAAGGUUUAGGAAGCUGUUGGGGUCAUGAGCAGCUAUUGACCCCAAAGUGACUCCGCUACUUCACACAAUAAUGUAGAUGCUGCAUUAGAAUAAUUUUACACUAAAAAAAAAAAAAUUCAAUGUCACUUAACACCAUUGAAUUAUGUAUCUAAUUAUUCAAAUGAAGCAUGAGGCCUGAAAUGGACCGGGUGAGAGAGUCAAUAUUAGGCCACUAAAGCAAAAUGUUUAGUGCCGUACUAAAAUAAUGAAUGCUAUUAUAUGAUGUAAUCAGUUUAUGUGUUACAGCAUGAAUGAACGAUUAGUUGAAUUUAAUUUAGAAUGCAUUAUGAAUUAAAAAAAAACACGCUUUAAAAUUUGACUAUAGUUUAUAGUUAGUGACCUUACAGUAUUCUAAAAUCAGUGUAACGUGUGUUUCUCUUCUUAAAUUGGAACCCCUAAAUUCUCUUUGUGUAGUGUAGGUACAAUCGAUCAUAUAAAGGAUAGGAGAGACAUUGAAGGGGUAUUCCAGAGCGUUUGAUGGGUUGUUUAUUGUUACAAAAACAAAGAAAUUUCUUUGGAAAUAACAUUCACGUUGUAAGUUUAUGUAUCCUAAAAGUCAAAACUGCCAACACUAGAGAAGCUAGCUACACACAAUGCCAUUCAUUCAAGGGGUAGUUUUGGCCGCUUUUUCUUUGUAUACUUCAACAAUCAAUUUGUGCAAAAACAAAUUAAAUUUGAUUUGGCAUAAUAAAAAAAGAAGACAUGGAUCUCAAAUAUAGGAGAGAUAAAUACAAUUUGUCUUGAAAUAUAGGCUCUUAAGGGGAUGUGGAGUCACUUAGUACUACGGUUUCGUGGUGUUCAUUUUUAUUUGUAAGUGAGAAAUCUUAGGUUCGAUUCUUAUUAAAGACGAAUUUAAACCACAUUAUUGCUAAUCCAUUGUGAGGCUUAAUCCACUCUCACUCUCUUCGCAUAGAUAAUGUCAUAUGUUAAAAAAAAAAAUAUAUAUGAUGUGACUAUAAUAUCCUGUAACUUUAAAUACAUCAAAAUAAAAAUGAAGUAGAUGAAGGCAGUAAAAAUAUACCAUAUGUUUCUUUAAAUCUCACCCGUUUAUUUCACGUUGUAGAUUUUUCGCCAGAUAUGAAUAUAGGCUGAAAAAAAGAAGAAGACAAGCAUUGUCUUAAAGGCCGGAACCAAGAAUGCCGGUGUUGGUUUUGGGUAUCACAAGUUCACAAAACCAAACCAAAACCAGAGUCGCCGUCAAACCCCACAGGAUUUGGUUGGCUGGUUUUUACCUUUUGACCACCUUCCAACCUACUUAACCUAAUCACGGGACGGCGGCUGGUUUCGUGAAGACCUACCACCGUGCCUAAUUACUUUUUUACCCUCCAAUUAAUUUGGGCUCUAAUUCUUUUUUGGUAAUUAAUUUAGGCUCCAACUUAAAGAAAAUAUAAAUGUGUGUGUAGAAGGUAAAAAUUGUGUGUGGUUACUGGUUAAGGCCUUUGAAAGGCAUGUGCAUAUUUUAACUGUCCCACAUGAAUUUUCUCCUAAUUAGACUAAUUAAUGAAAAUUAAUGUUUAUUAUUUGUUUUGAGAAAAAUAAGGAGUUCUACCCUAAUAUUGUAAAUCUAAGGCAAUGUACCUGAAUUAUUAAUAAUACACAAAAAAGAAAUUGAUAUAUCAAGACUCUAAAGAGUAACGCUAUUGCAAAAUUGUGUUGCAAUAAAAUUAGGUCUAGCAAUAACAACAAGUCUUAUAAGCAAUUGCAAAAUCUACGUGAUAAUUUAUGUUCUUAAUCAUUUAAAGAUAGUGGGAUAUUAAAUCCUAACUAUUUCUAAAUUUCAUUGGAGAUAAUAAAUUAAUGGAGAAAACUUUAUUUAUUUUCAUUUGAACUUUUUUGAAAAAUAAUUAUUUCUUUUUGAAUUGCUAGAGAAUCCAAUCCACCAUAAUGAAUUCGUAUAUUUAUAUAAAAUAGGAAAUAAAUCUAGGUCCAAUUAAUGUCUGGAGGGCAAAAUGGUAAACACAAAAAGAGAAAAUUAAUAAUAAUUUAUUUACGUGGGAAAGAAGCCAAGCAAGUAGAGCAACUUUCGAGCCGGAUUCACAUAAAAAGCCUCACCCACCCUUCACUUUCUUCCAUCUUUCUCUUUAUCUCUCAGAAAGCAACCAACUCGUCUUCUUCUUCCUCUCAAGUCUUCAGAUCAAACAUGUCUGCUUACAGAGGCAAAUACGCUGGUAAUUUACUCAUCCCCUUCACUUUUUUACUCGUUCAUAUCGAUCUGUUUUUGCAUAUCUAUAUAUUUGUCUUGAUUAAUUUCUUAGAUCUGAUUGUUCUUGUGCGUUUUCAAGAUUUGAUGCGUGAACCCAUGUUUUUUUAAGUGUGUUGUGGUUGUUGAGUGAUUGAAUCUUACUUCUGUGGUCAAGAUCCGACGACCAGAUUUGGGUUUCUUCGAUACUGUAUAGAUUUCUUGCAGUAUUCUGGUUUUGGGUUCUCAGAAAAUCAAUCGUUUUUGCUCCUGAAACUAUUUUUUAGUAUAUUUGAUUACUGAAGUUUAGAUCUAAUCUGACAUACCUAGUUAAUAUGCCUUCUGGGUUUUACUUUGUGAAGGUGGAAUAACUGUUGACUUGGAUUUUACUUCAAGGUUAAACUCAAUUUUAUGGAUUUAGAGUUCUCAAAUUUUCAAGUGUGUUUAUUGGGUUUAUGAUUUUUUCAGUCAACUAUUGGUAUGGGAUUCGAUUGACAAUGACAAAGUUGUUUGGUACCAAAUCUAGAUCUUUUGAUCUAAAUUGAAACCCUACAUUUUUAUGUUUGUGAUGAUCUACUUAUUCGUAGUACUUAACCCUUGUGAGUUCCUCCUUUUAUUUGUUUAUUUGUUGUUUUGACCUGAAGUUGUAAUAGUUUUGGAAGCAAUUAACAUGUAGUAAUUGGUUUUUUGAUAUUGUCUUCGGUUGCAUUACCUUGUUGACUAUGAGGGGAAUUUGGACUUGUCCUAACUUUAUUGUUCUGUAUUUUCUCGUUUUUGGUUAUUUAAAGUAGAUGUUUUGAUGUGGGUAUUUAUAUUUUGUGAUUUCUGGUCUAUGUUGGCUGAAUUUUGUAUGCCUUGCAGAUGAGCUUAUCGCCAAUGCUGCCUACAUUGGCACCCCUGGAAAGGGUAUUCUCGCUGCUGAUGAGUCAACUGGCACAAUCGGCAAACGUUUUGCCAGCAUCAAUGUUGAGAAUGUUGAAUCAAACAGGCGUGCUCUUCGUGAGCUCCUCUUCACUGCCCCUGAUGUGCUCCAAUACCUUAGUGGAGUGAUCCUCUUUGAGGAAACCCUCUACCAGAAGACUGCUUCAGGUAUUUUUAUUGAAGGUUCUAGGUUUUGAUACUUUGGCAUUCCACGAUUAUUAGUUCUGUUGUAUUUGGAAUCAAUAUAUUAGGUGCAGUGGUUAUUUUAUUUGAUCAAUAAAUCUGUAGAAUUCGUAUGUUUUUGUAACGUUUUUUGUUUCUUCAAGAGAAGUUUGGGUAAAGCUUUAAAGAGUACUUGUUCUUUUAGUAAUCCUGUUUUGACAAUCCUCUGGUUGCAUGAAUUGUUACCCUUUUCCAAUUUGUGCUCGCUUUGGAUUGUUGUUUUCGCAAAUAAUUUACUCAAAUUUUCCAUGGGAUGGUACUCGUUGUAUUGUAUUCUGCAGGCAAGCCAUUCGUUGACGUCUUGAAGGAAGGUGGUGUUCUCCCUGGUAUUAAGGUCGACAAGGGUACCGUUGAGCUCGCCGGAACCAAUGGUGAGACCACAACCCAGGGUCUUGAUGGCCUUGCCCAGCGCUGCCAGAAGUACUAUGAAGCUGGUGCACGGUUUGCAAAAUGGCGUGGUGCUCAAGAUUGGCCCCAAUGAGCCAUCUCAGCUGUCCAUUCAAGAGAACGCUAAUGGGUUGGCUCGUUAUGCUAUCAUCUGCCAGGAGAAUGGUCUAGUCCCAAUCGUUGAGCCAGAGAUCCUGGUUGAUGGACCCCAUUCCAUCGAUAAGUGUGCUGAUGUGACAGAGCGUGUUCUUGCUGCGUGCUACAAGGCUCUUAAUGACCACCAUGUCCUCCUCGAAGGAACUCUGUUGAAGCCCAACAUGGUCACUCCAGGAUCUGAUGCCAAGAAGGCUUCACCAGAAGUGAUUGCCGAGUAUACAGUUCGUGCCUUGUUGCGCACUACCCCUGCAGCUGUCCCUGCUGUUGUGUUCUUGUCCGGUGGACAGAGUGAGGAGGAGGCUACCCUCAACCUUAACGCCAUGAACCAACUCAAGGGAAAGAAGCCAUGGUCUCUAUCCUUCUCCUUCGGACGUGCUCUUCAGCAAAGCACACUGAAGGCAUGGGCAGGGAAAGAGGAAAACAUCCCAAAGGCACAGGCUGCUCUCCUCACAAGGGCCAA